GACGAACGCUGGCGGCGUGCUUAACACAUGCAAGUCGAGCGGAAAGGCCCUUCGGGGUACUCGAGCGGCGAACGGGUGAGUAACACGUGAGUAAUCUGCCCUUCACUCUGGGAUAGCCACCGGAAACGGUGAUUAAUACCGGAUACGACCAAUCCCUGCAUGGGGUGUUGGUGGAAACUUUUUUGGGUGGGGGAUGUGCUCGCGGCCUAUCAGCUUGUUGGUGGGGUAAUGGCCUACCAAGGCUUCGACGGGUAGCCGGCCUGAGAGGGUGACCGGGCACACUGGGAGUGAGCCACGGCCCGGGCUCCUACGGGAGGCAGCAGUGGGGAAUAUUGGACAAUGGGCGGAAGCCUGAUCCAGCAACGCCGCGUGAGGGAUGACGGCCUUCGGGUUGUAAACCUCUUUCAGCACCGACGAAGCGCAAGUGACGGUAGGUGCAGAAGAAGGACCGGCCAACUACGUGCCAGCCGCCGCGGUAAAAC
rnacentral:rRNA from 1 species